GAUAGCUUGCUAUCAAUGCUGACGAGCGGCGGACGGGUGAGUAAUGCCUGGGAAUAUGCCCUGAUGUGGGGGAUAACUAUUGGAAACGAUAGCUAAUACCGCAUAAUCUCUUCGGAGCAAAGAGGGGGACCUUCGGGCCUCUCGCGUCAGGAUUAGCCCAGGUGGGAUUAGCUUGUUGGUGGGGUAAUGGCUCACCAAGGCAACGAUCCCUAGCUGGUCUGAGAGGAUGAUCAGCCACACUGGAACUGAGACACGGUCCAGACUCCUACGGGAGGCAGCAGUGGGGAAUAUUGCACAAUGGGGGAAACCCUGAUGCAGCCAUGCCGCGUGUAUGAAGAAGGCCUUCGGGUUGUAAAGUACUUUCAGUUGUGAGGAAGGCGUUGAUGUUAAUAGCUUCAGCGUUUGACGUUAGCAACAGAAGAAGCACCGGCUAACUCCGUGCCAGCAGCCGCGGUAAUACGGAGGGUGCGAGCGUUAAUCGGAAUUACUGGGCGUAAAGCGCAUGCAGGUGGUCUGUUAAGCAAGAUGUGAAAGCCCGGGGCUCAACCUCGGAACAGCAUUUUGAACUGGCAGACUAGAGUACUGU
rnacentral:rRNA from 1 species